AGCCGUGCGGGCCGGGGAGGCGGAAGUGCCGCUUGCUGAGAGCGUCCUUACCCGGCCGGCCUUCUGGAGCUGGACAGACGGGGGACAGCCACCUCUGAGGGGACUCUAGUGCAGCACCGGGAGGUCAGGUUCUAUUACAAAAUUGAAGAGAGGACAGACAGAUACUGGUGUCCACACUCUUCUCAUCCUUCAGGAAACAGACAAAGUUGGUACUUCCCAUUGCAUCUUGCAUAUGGGAUCACAUCCUCUUUCCUGCUAUGGACUCAACAUUUCUAGAAUAUACCUUUGAAAAACGUAUUAAAUAAGUUAUAGUGUAUCCUUGCAAGGGAAUAAUGCGCAACAGCAAGAAAGAAUGAGCGAGCUCUUUUUGUACUGAUAUGGAACAAUCUCUGACAAGUGUAAAACAGACCAUAUACUGUGACACCAGAGUGUGAAAAAGGGGGAAAGAGAACACGGAUUCACAAAUGCUGGCAAAAGCUCAGGAUAACUCCAGGAUGAUACACAGGCAACUGGUAUCUCUAUUUGCCUCUUGGGAGGGAAAGUGCUGGAGGUCAGGGCUGGAAGAAAAACCUUCUGGCUUAUAUCAAUUUUCAUAUCAUGUAAACAUACUAUUCAUUCAGAAUAAGUAAACAAACCUACCUAUUUAAACAGAAUAUAUCAAAGUAAUUAUAAGAAAUCAUUUCUCUCCAUUCAGCACAUUGCUGAGAACAGUGUUCACCACAAGAUGCUGGCCCGGGUGGGGUUGGGGAUGGAUUACAGGGUAUUUCAAAGGCCCUGUCACCUACAGUGUGGACUCAGGUCAGGGGAUCCCUGAACAAUGGUGCAGCAAGAAGAAGGUGGGCACAGGGUCUGGGGGAGGCUGAAGCAGGGUGGGCCUGAGGAUCUUUAAGGGUCUUGCAAGCCCCAUUUAUGACAUCACCCAGAGCCCCACUCCCGCCUUAGGAUCAGGCUCGGUCUGUCCCAGGCAUUGCCGCUGGCACAGGGGCUGCCUGCCCCUGGGGUUUUCCUCUUUAGGAGCGUGUGAUGUGGGGUGAGGGGUGAAACAGGCAGUCAGUGAUCAUAAAAACCUGAGCCCCAUUCUCAGCUGCUGACUCUUUUGAGAUUCCCACCUUGGAGCGGGGGCCAUGGAAAAAGCAUCAGAAUAGGGGCAGAAGGCAUGAGAAAAGCCUGUUGUCUUUUGUAGGCCUCAGUUUCCCUCUCUGCAAAAUGGGUAGAAUAAAGCUCUAC